CCUACGGGAGGCUGCAGUGAGGAAUAUUGGUCAAUGGGCGCGAGCCUGAACCAGCCAAGUCGCGUGAGGGAAGACGGUCCUAUGGAUUGUAAACCUCUUUUGUCGGGGAGCAAAAGACGCCACGCGUGGCGUUCCGAGAGUACCCGAAGAAAAAGCAUCGGCUAACUCCGUGCCAGCAGCCGCGGUAAUACGGAGGAUGCGAGCGUUAUCCGGAUUUAUUGGGUUAAAAGGGUGCGCAGGCGGAAGAUCAAGUCAGCGGGAAAAUUGAGAGGCUCAACCUCUUCGAGCCGUUGAAACUGGUUUUCUUGAGUGAGCGAGAAGUAUGCGGAAUGCGUGGUGUAGCGGUGAAAUGCAUAGAUAUCACGCAGAACUCCGAUUGCGAAGGCAGCAUACCGGCGCUCAACUGACGCUCAUGCACGAAAGUGUGGGUAUCGAACAGGAUUAGAUACCCGAGUAGUC
rnacentral:rRNA from 1 species